rnacentral:lncRNA from 1 species
UUCCCAUUAGCCAUGUUAAUUGGGACAACAAUAAAAGCAGCAACAACAACGUUAUCAUCGAUCAUCAUCUUAGAGCAAGCGAAAUCUACUUUGUAAUUGUGUUAGAACAACCCUAGCCUCACCCGUCAACAGUUUACACGCCAUUUUUUUCUGCUUUUUGCAAGAUAUAUUACACAGCAGCAGCCAUCGUAUUUCCAGAUCUACCCUGUUCAUACAUUAAACCCUCGCCGGUGGCUUUACAGUUACAAAGUGUUGCCGCCACUCCUUUGUAGAUCUUGUUCCCGUUUACAUCUAUCCUUGUCGUUGCUCUUCACUAACGGAUCUCGGUCUGUGCUUGAUUCUGAAAUAGGUGUAUUGAUGAAAAGGUUCUGAAAUGGUUUGGGGGGCUGCAAAAGUGGAAACAAAGCAGGAAAAGAAAGACAUCCAUGAGAGAUGGAAGGCUCUCAUGUGAGGCGUAGCGAUCGAAAAUAACCGGAAUCCGGUUGCUUUGUGUUCGGAGUCAACCGGAAGAGCGAAUUUCUGGUAACUUGUGUCUAAAUUUUGUAAGAUUUCCAUUGUGUUUGGAAUGAAAUAAAACAAAUGAAACAA